GAUGAACGCUGGCGGCGUGCCUAAUACAUGCAAGUCGAGCGAACCAAAGAGAGCUUGCUCUCUGAGGUUAGCGGCGGACGGGUGAGUAACACGUGGGUAACCUGCCUGUAAGACGGGGAUAACUUCGGGAAACCGAAGCUAAUACCGGAUGAUAAAGAGAAACGCCUGUUUCUUUUUUGAAAGUCGGCCUUGUGCUGACGCUUACAGAUGGGCCCGCGGCGCAUUAGCUAGUUGGUGAGGUAACGGCUCACCAAGGCGACGAUGCGUAGCCGACCUGAGAGGGUGAUCGGCCACACUAGGACUGAGACACGGCCCAGACUCCUACGGGAGGCAGCAGUAGGGAAUCUUCGGCAAUGGACGAAAGUCUGACCGGGCAACGCCGCGUGAGCGAUGAAGGCCUUCGGGUUGUAAAGCUCUGUUGUCAGAGAAGAACAAGUACCGGAGUAACUGCCGGUACCUUGACGGUACCUGACCAGAAAGCCACGGCUAACUACGUGCCAGCCGCCGCAGUAACAC
rnacentral:rRNA from 1 species